rfam:Lupinus angustifolius cultivar Tanjil chromosome LG15, whole genome shotgun sequence.
AGAUGCGAUCAUAUAAACACUAAUGCUUCGGAUCCCAUCGGAACUCCGCAGUCAAGCGUGCUUGGGCGAUAGUAGUACUAGGAUGGGUGACCUUCUGGGAAGUCUUCGUGUUGCACCUC